GUAGGGAAUCUUCCGCAAUGGACGAAAGUCUGACGGAGCAACGCCGCGUGAGUGAUGAAGGUUUUCGGAUCGUAAAACUCUGUUGUUAGGGAAGAACAAGUUGGGUAGUAACUGACCCAACCUUGACGGUACCUAACCAGAAAGCCACGGCUAACUACGUG
rnacentral:rRNA from 1 species